UUUAAAUUAUCAAUUGAACUGAAUCAUUUAAAUGGGUUGUUUUCUAUUUAAUUUUUAAAAAUUUGAUUUGCUUUCGAUUAAUAAAUAUUUUAAAAAUUUAUUUUUUUGUUUUGUUCAAUUAAUUCAUUAAAGAAAUCAAAUUAAUUGAAUCAAUUCUCUAUUCAAUUUAUUGUGUUUUUACUUUACGUAUAAAAGCAAACUUUGCCAAUCUUCUCACCUCAUCUUCCCCCAGCAUAGAAACUCCUGCUAAAUGAAAAAAUCUGUCUCACUCUCACGAUAUGUUGGGAAUCUAAAUCUUACCCACCUCAUCUUCCCCCAGCAUAGAAACUCCUGCUAAAUGAAAAAAUCUGUCUCACUCUCACGAUAUGUUGGGAAUCUAAAUCUUACC
rnacentral:misc_RNA from 1 species